rnacentral:rRNA from 1 species
AUUGAACGCUGGCGGCAUGCUUUACACAUGCAAGUCGAACGGCAGCGCGGGCUUCGGCCUGGCGGCGAGUGGCGAACGGGUGAGUAAUACAUCGGAACGUGCCCAGUAGUGGGGGAUAGCUCGGCGAAAGCCGGAUUAAUACCGCAUACGACCUGAGGGUGAAAGCGGGGGAUCUUCGGACCUCGCGCUAUUGGAGCGGCCGAUGGCAGAUUAGCUAGUUGGUGGGGUAAAGGCCUACCAAGGCGACGAUCUGUAACUGGUCUGAGAGGACGACCAGCCACACUGGGACUGAGACACGGCCCAGACUCCUACGGGAGGCAGCAGUGGGGAAUUUUGGACAAUGGGCGAAAGCCUGAUCCAGCAAUGCCGCGUGUGUGAUGAAGGCCUUCGGGUUGUAAAGCACUUUUGGCGGGAACGAAAAGGACUGUGCCAAUACCACGGUUCGAUGACGGUACCCGCAGAAUAAGCACCGGCUAACUACGUG